CAGCAGCCACGGUAAUACAGAGGGUGCAAGCGUUAAUCGGAAUUACUGGGCGUAAAGCGUGCGCAGGCGGCUUUUUAAGUCGGAUGUGAAAUCCCUGAGCUUAACUUAGGAAUUGCAUUCGAUACUGGGAAGCUAGAGUAUGGGAGAGGAUGGUAGAAUUCCAGGUGUAGCGGUGAAAUGCGUAGAGAUCUGGAGGAAUACCGAUGGCGAAGGCAGCCAUCUGGCCUAAUACUGACGCUGAGGUACGAAAGCAUGGGGAGCAAACAGGAUUAGAUACCCGGGUAGUCCCUGUCUCUUAUAC
rnacentral:rRNA from 1 species